rnacentral:rRNA from 1 species
UUAGAGUUUGAUCCUGGCUCAGAACGAACGCUGGCGGCGUGGAUAAGACAUGCAAGUCGAGCGGGAUCUGGUCGAUAGCAAUAUCAAUCGGAUUCAGCGGCGAAAGGGUGAGUAACACGUGAGUAACCUGCCUCCAAGUGGGAGAUAACUCCGAGAAAUCGGAGCUAAUACCGCAUGUGAAGUCAGAUCAAAUGAUCUGACCAUCAAAGCUGGGGACCUCUAAGGCCUGGCGCUUGGAGAUGGGCUCGCGGCCUAUCAGCUAGUUGGUGAGGUAAUGGCUCACCAAGGCGAAGACGGGUAGCUGGUCUGAGAGGACGACCAGCCACACUGGAACUGAGACACGGUCCAGACACCUACGGGUGGCAGCAGUCGAGAAUUUUUCACAAUGGGCGAAAGCCUGAUGGAGCGACGCCGCGUGGGGGAUGAAGGGCUUCGGCCUGUAAACCCCUGUCAUCUGUGAACAAUGCUGUCGGGCGAACAACUCGGCAGUUGAUAGUAGCAGAAGAGGAAGGGACGGCUAACUCUGUGCCAGCAGCCGCGGUAGUACAGAGGUCCCAAGCGUUGUUCGGAUUCACUGGGCGUAAAGGGUGCGUAGGCGGUCGUGAAAGUCUGGUGUGAAAGCUUCGAGCUCAACUCGGAAACGGCAUUGGAAACUACACGGCUAGAGGGUUGGAUGGGGGACUGGAAUUCUCGGUGUAGCAGUGAAAUGCGUAGAUAUCGAGAGGAACACCGGUGGCGAAGGCGAGUCCCUGGACAACUCCUGACGCUGAGGCACGAAAGCUGGGGGAGCAAACAGGAUUAGAUACCCUGGUAGUCCCAGCCCUAAACGGUGCACGUUUGCCGUGGGUGGAUUCGACCCCAUCCGUGGCGAAGCUAACGCGUUAAACGUGCCGCCUGGGGAGUACGGCCGCAAGGCUAAAACUCAAAGAAAUUGACGGGGGCCUGCACAAGCGGUGGAGUAUGUGGCUCAAUUCGAUGCAACGCGAAGAACCUUACCUGGCCUUGACAUGCACGUGGUAAGAGCCCGAAAGGGUGAUGACUCCGCAAGGAGAGCGUGCACAGGUGCUGCAUGGCUGUCGUCAGCUCGUGUCGUGAGAUGUUGGGUUAAGUCCCGCAACGAGCGCAACCCUUGCAUCCUGUUGCUAUUUGGUUGAGAGACCGAAGCACUCUGGAUGGACUGCCUCGUUCCAACGAGGAGGAAGGUGGGGAUGACGUCAAGUCAGUAUGGCCCUUAUGGCCAGGGCUGCACACGUACUACAAUGCUCAGCACAAUGGGAAGCAAACCCGCGAGGGAGAGCAAAUCCUCAAAACUGAGCCCAGUUCGGAUUGUAGUCUGCAACUCGACUACAUGAAGCUGGAAUCGCUAGUAAUGGCGCAUCAGCUACGGCGCCGUGAAUACGUUCCCAGGCCUUGUACACACCGCCCGUCACAUCAUGAAAGCCGUUUGUACCCGAAGUCGCCGUAACGGUGCCGAAGGUAUGAAUGGUGAUUGGGAUGAAGUCGUAACAAGGUAACC